rnacentral:rRNA from 1 species
UACGUAGGGGGCAAGCGUUGUCCGGAUUUAUUGGGCGUAAAGAGCGUGUAGGCGGCCCGACAGGUCCGUUGUGAAAACUCGAGGCUCAACCUCGAGACGUCGAUGGAAACCGUCGGGCUAGAGUCCGGAAGAGGAGAGUGGAAUUCCUGGUGUAGCGGUGAAAUGCGUAGAUAUCUGGAGGAACACCGGUGGCGAAGGCGGCAUCCUGGACCGGCAUUGACGCUGAGGCGCGAAAGCCAGGGGAGCAAACGGG